rnacentral:antisense_RNA from 1 species
UUCUCUUUGAGUAUCUUUUUAAUGACUUAAACACCAGCACGGAGACUCGCCAUGUAAACGGCCUCAUUUCUGUGCUCUGUGCUUUGGGAGGGACAGGGACGCCAUUUCCCACCUUGGCUGAGUUAAAACCUGUCUUGUAAAUUAAUAAAUAAUUUCCUAACUGACACGGCAAAAAAAAAAAAAAAAAAAUCCAAACGAGACCUAGUUUCCAUCCAGGGACAGGACGUUUCUGGACACCGCCGGUCACUGCUCCUCCUAAGGGCCUGGCCGUGGCUACUACAGGGAGGAUAUAGUGAGAAUGGCUGGUCUUGGCACUCAACGUCUUAGCUAGUGGAUUUAUCGCAUUAAGACUGUACUUGGGCCUUUUUCAUGAUGACUUGGGUCUCAAUCCUUGGAGCAGCUGAAAGAACA